ensembl:lncRNA
UUCACAUUCCCUUCUUAGAUUCGGUUGCCCUCUGAGAUUCAGUUUCCACAUGGACUUUGCUUCCCCACCUUUGGACUCCGUUUUACCCCCUCCUGGAUUUUCCCCACAUGGACUCAGUUCUACCAGAUUCUCACCAGCCCUGCUUCAGUCUCCAGCCUGUUUUUCCUGCCUCGCCUCCGUCUGCCCCUGGAUUCCCUCAGCCAGUCUUCCCCCUCUGUUGCCAGUUCCCCCGUCUUGUGGAAACUGUAACAAGAAACAAGAAGUAGUAGUAACGUUGCCAUGGAUACAGUGAGUUACACUUUGGGCAAAAAUGAGCCCUUUAUUUGUUUUCAGCAAAUAUUUGCAUACAGUUUGGAACAAAGGUAAAUCAAAGUGGCAGUUACUAGUUCCUUUUAUUAUAAGACAAGGUCUCUCUUUUCUGUCUUCUGUGAUGGUGAUACACCUUCGUCAUUUUGAGAUUGCUCACAAAAAUCUUUUCCUUUUAGCAUUGUGUGGUUGGUGUUCACUGACAUACACAGACUGGUUAUGGGGUUGAGCUGCUGGCAGGUAUACAGCUGGUUUGAG